rnacentral:rRNA from 1 species
CGGCGCCUACGGGGCGCAGCAGUGGGGAAUAUUGCACAAUGGGGGGAACCCUGAUGCAGCAAUGCCGCGUGGGUGAAGAAGCACUCCGGUGCGUAAAGCCCUGUCAGCAGGGAAGAAAAUGACAGUACCUGACCAAGAAGCCCCGGCUAAAUACGUGCCAGCAGCCGCGGUAAUACGUAUGGUGCAAGCGUUAUCCGGAUUUACUGGGUGUAAAGGGAGCGCAGGCGGUGCGGCAAGUCUGAUGUGAAAGCCCGGGGCUCAACCCCGGGACUGCAUUGGAAACUACCGAACU